rnacentral:rRNA from 2 species
CUGGCGGCGUGCCUAAUACAUGCAAGUCGAGCGGAUUGAUGGGAGCUUGCUCCCUGAAAUCAGCGGCGGACGGGUGAGUAACACGUGGGUAACCUGCCUGUAAGACUGGGAUAACUCCGGGAAACCGGGGCUAAUACCGGAUAGUUCUUUUCCUCGCAUGAGGAAAAGUGGAAAGGCGGCUUCGGCUGCCACUUACAGAUGGACCCGCGGCGCAUUAGCUAGUUGGUGAGGUAACGGCUCACCAAGGCAACGAUGCGUAGCCGACCUGAGAGGGUGAUCGGCCACACUGGGACUGAGACACGGCCCAGACUCCUACGGGAGGCAGCAGUAGGGAAUCUUCCGCAAUGGACGAAAGUCUGACGGAGCAACGCCGCGUGAGUGAUGAAGGUUUUCGGAUCGUAAAGCUCUGUUGUUAGGGAAGAACAAGUGCCGUUCGAAUAGGGCGGCACCUUGACGGUACCUAACCAGAAAGCCACGGCUAACUACGUGCCAGCAGCCGCGGUAAUACGUAGGUGGCAAGCGUUGUCCGGAAUUAUUGGGCGUAAAGCGCGCGCAGGCGGUCUCUUAAGUCUGAUGUGAAAGCCCACGGCUCAACCGUGGAGGGUCAUUGGAAACUGGGGGACUUGAGUACAGAAGAGGAAAGUGGAAUUCCACGUGUAGCGGUGAAAUGCGUAGAUAUGUGGAGGAACACCAGUGGCGAAGGCGACUUUCUGGUCUGUAACUGACGCUGAGGCGCGAAA